rnacentral:rRNA from 1 species
GGGCCCGCACAAGCGGUGGAGUAUGUGGUUUAAUUCGAUGCAACGCGAAGAACCUUACCAGGGUUUGACAUCCUGCGAAUUUCUGGGAAACCGGAAAGUGCCUUCGGGAGCGCAGUGACAGGUGGUGCAUGGCUGUCGUCAGCUCGUGUCGUGAGAUGUUGGUUAAGUCCCGCAACGAGCGCAACCCACGUCUUUAGUUGCCAGCAUUUAGUUGGGCACUCUAGAGAGACUGCCGGUGAUAAACCGGAGGAAGGUGUGGAUGACGUCAAGUCAUCAUGCCCCUUACAUCCUGGGCUACACACGUACUACAAUGCUACGGACAAAGGGCAGCAAGUUCGCGAGGACAAG